rnacentral:rRNA from 1 species
UACGAAGGGGGCUAGCGUUGCUCGGAAUCACUGGGCGUAAAGGGUGCGUAGGCGGGUCUUUAAGUCAGGGGUGAAAUCCUGGAGCUCAACUCCAGAACUGCCUUUGAUACUGAGAAGCUUGAGUUCGGGAGAGGUGAGUGGAACUGCGAGUGUAGAGGUGAAAUUCGUAGAUAUUCGCAAGAACACCAGUGGCGAAGGCGGCUCACUGGCCCGAUACUGACG